AGUGAACGCUGGCGGUAGGCCUAACACAUGCAAGUCGAACGGCAGCACAGUAAGAGCUUGCUCUUACGGGUGGCGAGUGGCGGACGGGUGAGGAAUACAUCGGAAUCUACUUUUUCGUGGGGGAUAACGUAGGGAAACUUACGCUAAUACCGCAUACGACCUACGGGUGAAAGCAGGGGAUCUUCGGACCUUGCGCGAUUGAAUGAGCCGAUGUCGGAUUAGCUAGUUGGCGGGGUAAAGGCCCACCAAGGCGACGAUCCGUAGCUGGUCUAAGAGGAUGAUCAGCCAUACUGGAACUGAGACACGGUCCAGACUCCUACGGGAGGCAGCAGUGGGGAAUAUUGGACAAUGGGCGCAAGCCUGAUCCAGCCAUACCGCGUGGGUGAAGAAGGCCUUCGGGUUGUAAAGCCCUUUUGUUGGGAAAGAAAAGCAGCAGGUUAAUACCCCGCUGUUCUGACGGUACCCAAAGAAUAAGCACCGGCUAACUUCGUG
rnacentral:rRNA from 1 species